GACGAACGCUGGCGGCGUGCUUAACACAUGCAAGUCGAACGAUGAACCAGGGCUUGCCCUGGGGAUUAGUGGCGAACGGUGAGUAACACGUGGGCAACCUGCCCCAGACACCGGGAUAACCUCUCGAAAGAGUGGCUAAUACCGGAUAUGACCACUUCGGGCAUCCGACGGUGGUGGAAAGGAUUCUGGUCUGGGAUGGGCCCGCGGCCUAUCAGCUAGUUGGUGGGGUAAAUGGCCUACCAAGGCGACGACGGGUAGCCGGCCUGAGAGGGCGACCGGCCACACUGGACUGAGACACGGCCCAGACUCCUACGGGAGGCAGCAGUGGGGAAUAUUGCGCAAUGGGCGAAAGCCUGACGCAGCGACGCCGCGUGAGGGACGAAGGUCUUCGGAUUGUAAACCUCUUUCAGCAGGACGAAGCGAAAGUGACUGUACCUGCAGAAGAAAGCACCGGCUAAC
rnacentral:rRNA from 1 species